AUUCUCUGUGUCUCAUCCUCUGUCAAAGACCAAUC
rnacentral:sRNA from 1 species